ACCACUAGGAGGUGUCCACAUGGUCUGAUAAACACUCCUAACAACCAGACCACUAGGAGGUGUCCACAUGGUCUGAUAAACACUCAUAACAACCAGACCACUAGGAGGUGUCCACAUGGUCUGAUAAACACUCCUAACAACCCCACCACUAGGAGGUGUCCACAUGGUCUGAUAAACACUCCUAACAACCCCACCACUAGGAGGUGUCCACAUGGUCUGAUAAACACUCCUAACAACCAGACCACUAGGAGGUGUCCACAUGGUCUGAUAAACACUCCUAACAACCCCACCACUAGGAGGUGUCCACAUGGUCUGAUAAACACUCCUAACA